rnacentral:rRNA from 1 species
UACGUAGGGGGCUAGCGUUGUCCGGAUUUAUUGGGCGUAAAGAGCGUGUAGGCGGCCAGGUAGGCCUGGUGUGAAAACUCGAGGCUUAACCUCGAGAUGUCAUCGGAAACCAUUUGGCUAGAGUCCGGAAGAGGAGAGUGGAAUUCCUGGUGUAGCGGUGAAAUGCGCAGAUAUCAGGAAGAACACCCGUGGCGAAGGCGGCUCUCUGGGACGGUACUGACGCUGAGACGCGAAAGCGUGGGGAGCGAACAGG